UACGAAGGGGGCUAGCGUUGUUCGGAUUUACUGGGCGUAAAGCGCACGUAGGCGGAUCGUUAAGUUGGGGGUGAAAUCCUGGAGCUCAACUCCAGAACUGCCUUCAAUACUGGCGAUCUAGAGUCCGGAAGAGGUGAGUGGAACUCCUAGUGUAGAGGUGGAAUUCGUAGAUAUUAGGAAGAACACCAGUGGCGAAGGCGGCUCACUGGUCCGGUACUGACGCUGAGGUGCGAAAGCGUGGGGAGCAAACAGG
rnacentral:rRNA from 1 species